CCCCCGGUAACUCAGAUGGUAGAGUGCCUGUUUGAAGAACAGGAGGUCAUCCGUUCAACCCGGAUCUGGGGGA
rnacentral:tRNA from 2 species